UCCGGAGGAGGCAAGCGUUAUCCGGAAUUAUUGGGCGUAAAGCGUCCGUAGGUGGUUGGCCAAGUCUGCUGUCAAAGGGUGGGGCUUAACCUCAGAAGGGCAGUGGAAACUGGUGAGCUAGAGUGCGGUAGGGGUAAGGGGAAUUCCCAGUGUAGCGGUGAAAUGCGUAGAGAUUGGGAAGAACAUCGGUGGCGAAAGCGCCUUGCUGGGCCUGCACUGACACUGAGGGACGAAAGCUAGGGGAGCGAAAGGG
rnacentral:rRNA from 1 species